GCCGCCCGCCGCCGGUCGCCGGUGGUCCUCCGCCGUCUCGAUUCUUGUGCCGACUUCAAAAGCUCGUAUCUCCUCCAUCCGAGCUUCGUUUCAGGUGAUCUUGGUCUCGUUGGACUCCGUUUUUCGCCGCGAACCUCGCUGUGGGCUCAAUGUGGGCUGAAUCUCGAGGCGUCAAAUCCUAACACAGUCUUUAUAUUCCUUCCAGCAAGACCAGGCCACCACAGCAAGGAGCAUCAAAAUUAUAGGCUG
rnacentral:lncRNA from 1 species